UACAGAGGGUGCAAGCGUUAAUCGGAAUUACUGGGCGUAAAGCGUGCGUAGACGGUUAUGUAAGUCAGAUGUGAAAGCCCCGGGCUUAACCUGGGAAUGGCAUUUGAGACUGCAUAGCUAGGGUGCGGAAGAGGGAAGCGGAAUUUCCGGUGUAGCGGUGAAAUGCGUAGAUAUCUGGAGGAACACCGGUGGCGAAGGCGGCAUCCUGGACCAAUAUUGACGCUGAGGAGCGAAAGCCAGGGGAGCAAACGGG
rnacentral:rRNA from 1 species